AGUGAACGCUGGCGGCAGGCCUAACACAUGCAAGUCGAACGGCAGCACGGCAGUAGCAAUACUGUGGGUGGCGAGUGGCGGACGGGUGAGGAAUACAUCGGGAUCUACCCUGUUGUGGGGGAUAACGUAGGGAAACUUACGCUAAUACCGCAUAAGAACUGAGGUUGAAAGCGGCGGACCGCAAGGCGUCGCGCGAUUGGAUGAACCGAUGUCCGAUUAGCUAGUUGGCGGGGUAAAGGCCCACAAGGCGACGAUCGGUAGCUGGUCUGAGAGGACGACCAGCCACACUGGAACUGAGACACGGUCCAGACUCCUACGGGAGGCAGCAGUGGGGAAUAUUGGACAAUGGGCGCAAGCCUGAUCCAGCCAUGCCGCGUGGGUGAAGAAGGCCU
rnacentral:rRNA from 1 species